rfam:Triticum urartu cultivar G1812 contig158082, whole genome shotgun sequence.
AAGGUACUCCCUCCGUUCGGAAUUAUUUGUCGUAGAAAAUAAAUGUAUCUAGACAUUUUUUAGUUCUAAAUACAUCCAUUUCUGCGACAAAUAAUUCGAAACAGAGGGAGUAGAUA